rnacentral:rRNA from 1 species
AAUGAACGCUGGCGGCGUGCCUAACACAUGCAAGUCGUACGAGAAAGGGGCUUCGGCCCUGAGUAGAGUGGCGCACGGGUGAGUAACGCGUGGGUAAUCUGCCCUUGGAUUUGGGAUAACUCUGCGAAAGUGGAGCUAAUACCGGAUAGUCUGGCUUUAAUUUAUAAGUCGGUAAAGGAUGCCUCUGCAUAUGCAUUCGUCCAAGGAUGAGCCCGCGUCUCAUUAGCUAGUUGGUAGGGUAAUGGCCUACGAAGGCAACGAUGAGUAGCUGGUCUGAGAGGAUGAUCAGCCACACGGGAACUGAAACACGGUCCAGACUCCUACGGGAGGCAGCAGUGGGGAAUAUUGCGCAAUGGGCGAAAGCCUGACGCAGCAACGCCGUGUGAGGGAUGAAGGCUUUCGGGUCGUAAACCUCUGUCGGAAGGGAAGAACGGGUGAGGGUCUAAUAGGCCUUCAUUUUGACGGUACCUUUAGAGGAAGCACCGGCUAACUCCGUGCCAGCAGCCGCCGUAACAC